CACAGCGAUCCCACAACGCGAGGAGCGCUGCAGGGAAGAGCCAGGUGCCUCGCAGCUCUCCGUUCACUAUUUACACCCCGUGCACCGCGUCGCGUUUGACAGCAACACGUCGCUUUAGUUGAUACACGUCUUUAAUUCCCCACGUGUUGGAUACUCGCGAUGCCGGAGACGGACUGGAUAGCAACAACAACAACAACAACAACAAGGCGCGCUGCUGUCCCAUUAGCAUCGCGAUGCCCCCCGGUCCAUGCUGUCUGACCCGAGUUCACACCGUCCGCGCCUUUCCGCCCCCCCGUCCAGUGCACGCUCGUACGGUGGCCCAGCGCGAUGGCCGAGGAGGACCUCCAGCAGCACGCGGACCGCGGGGCGAGGAGUCAGCCCGGCCUGCUCACCGGGCUGCAGGGCGCCGAGGCCAGUGCUCUGCAGCUGAGGAUCAACAACUCCAUCUGGUGAGGACGUGUGCACUCACUACCGCUGUGCACGCGGGGAUGUUUUCAGGGGGGGGCACAUUUUAUUUUAUUGUUCUCAGCACCCAGAGGUCAAAGUAUUAAGUGAGAGAAGUAGUACCACAAUGUAAUAAUGCUUAAUGCAGGUAUUCCUGCGUGGAAUAUCUUGCUGCUAUGUGAAAUUACAUUAAGUAGUGUCUGCAAAAUAUACAAGCAUGAGGUGUAAACAGCACUUGUUGAGCAGAAAUGUUAUUUUGUUCCAUUUCAUUCUUGCAUCGCACCAAUCACCAAGAUGUACAUACAGAGUGAUUUCAUAAUCAAUGUACAAGGUAUUAAACUGUAAAAUAUACCUGUCAGAUACAUUUUAUUAAAUAAGAAAUGCAAACAGCUGAAAUGCAUUGAGGUAAAAGCAGUAUUGGAUAGAAGUACUCAUGUAAAGAGCAAGUGUUACAUACCUAAGCAUAUCACAAUACUAGAAGAAAUGUACCCAUUGUUUGGAAAUCUUAACUCCUAUUUGAUCGACAUGGGCUAUUUUGACAGUUUGAUCAGUUCGCGAGCAGUGAUUGACGGCCGCGUCAGAGACUCCUCGGCUCUGAUUGGUUGAUUUAGUCUUUCAAAUGCCAUUGUUAGCACUAAAAGGAAGCAGGCGUACCAGAAUCCUUUCACAAAUCUGUCUUGUGUACUUUCAGGAUGUAGCGACAGUUUGAGCGUGUAUGACUAAAAUACAUUUUCAUAAAUUACCAACUGCCUUAAUGCGCCUGUAAUCAAAAUCUGAUAUUGUAAUACAUGAUCAUAUAAAUCCGGAGUAAUUCUGCUCCUAUAGUUCUGUGUACUUUUUCUUUUACAUUAGUAAAGACAACAUUGCACUAGUUCACCCCAUCUUUCACCUCACACCUUUGUUUUCUUUUGCUAGAUUCUUUAUUUGUUGAAGUCAGUGUCACCGUAAUGGUCAUACAUUCACGGGUCCUGUAUUUGCGUCAUCAAAAGACCACCGACAUGCUGAAACCAACAGCUCCGGCGUGUAGCUCAUGUAACCCUUGAAAUAAAAAUAUAAUGAC
ensembl:lncRNA